rnacentral:rRNA from 1 species
GUCAAACUUCCGCAUAUUAAAUGAUACUCGGCAAAUAAACAGCCUUCAAUAAUGCGGUGAAAUGUAUAUUUAACUAACCUGCUGAUAUAUUUUUAAAACGUUGAUCGUAAACAAGGAUUAGAUACCCUUCUAUACAACGCUUAUAUUAUUUGUUAGGUACUACAACCAUCAAGGUUAAAAACUAAGUAACAUGGCGGUAAUUUCUAUUCAGGGGAACUUACCGAUUUACUGAUAGCCACCAUGGUAAAUUAAUUUUAUGAAAUUCUUGUAUGCCGUCGUCGUCAGGUAAAACUUAAUGUUUUACCAUAAAAGUGUUACUUAAAAGACAGAUCCAGGUGCAGACAAUCAUAAAAUCUCGGCGAGUUACAAUUGAUUCCAAGCAGUUAAACUCCUUAAAAUAGUUUAUAAGUAGGACUUGACAGUAAUUGUUAUUAUAUAUACUAUAUGGACAUUGAGAAAUUGUGCACAA